rnacentral:rRNA from 1 species
GACGAACUGUCCUAACGUUGUUCGGAAUCACUGGGCUUAAAGGGCGCGUAGGCGGUCCGACAAGUCAGGGGUGAAAUCCUGCAGCUUAACUGUAGAAGUGCCUCUGAUACUGUCGGUCUUUGAGGGAGGUAGGGGGUGUGUGGAACUGCGAGUGUAGAGGUGAAAUUCGUAGAUAUUCGCAAGAACACCAGUGGCGAAGGCGGCUUACUGGUCCGGUUCUGACGCUGAGGCGCGAAAGCGUGGGGAGCAAACAGG